AUACGUAGGUGGCGAGCGUUGUCCGGAUUUACUGGGUGUAAAGGGCGUGUAGGCGGGGGAGCAAGUCAGAUGUGAAAACCCAAGGCUUAACCAUGGGACUGCAUUUGAAACUGUUUUUCUUGAGUGACGGAGAGGCAAGCGGAAUUCCUAGUGUAGCGGUAAAAUGCGUAGAUAUUAGGAGGAACACCGGUGGCGAAGGCGGCUUGCUGGACGUUAACUGACGCUGAGGCGCGAAAGCGUGGGGAGCAAACAGGAUUAGAUACCCUGGUAGUCCACGCCGUAAACGAUGGAUACUAGGUGUGGGGGGACUGACCCCUUCCGUGCCGCAGUUAACACAAUAAGUAUUCCACCUGGGGAGUACGAUCGCAAGAUUGAAACUCAAAUGAAUUGGCGGGG
rnacentral:rRNA from 1 species